AUUGAACGCUGGCGGCAGGCCUAACACAUGCAAGUCGAGCGAGCGGCGGACGGGUGAGUAAUGUAUGGGGACUGCCCGAUAGAGGGGGAUAACUACUGGAAACGGUGGCUAAUACCGCAUACUGUCGUAUAACCCCUAUGGGAUUAGCUAGUAGGUAAGGUAAUGGCUUACCUAGGCGACGAUCCCUAGCUGGUCUGAGAGGAUUAUCAGCCACACGAGGCCUGAGAAACGGCCCAGACUCCUACGGAGGCAGCGGUGGGGAAUAUUGCACAAUUGGCGCAAGCCUGAUGCGGCCGUGCCGCGUAUAUGAAGAAGGCCCUAGAGUUGUAAAGUACUUUCUGUCAGAAGGCGGUACCGAAAGAAGAAGCACCGGCUAACUCCGUGCCAGCAGCCGCGGUAAUAC
rnacentral:rRNA from 1 species